AUUUCUUAUUUAACUGUAAUAAAAAAUCUCUGUUCUUAUCAGCUUAAUAUCUGAUCUGUUAGGCAAUGCCUAACUCAUAUAUUAAACUGAUUUUUGGACUUCGGCCAUGGGAUUGAAGCUUGCUUCGCCCUGGCCACGGGUUGUCUCGGUUUUUCACUACAUCCGAGUACGGCCCCUUCCCC
rnacentral:snRNA from 1 species